AUUGAACGCUGGCGGCAGGCCUAACACAUGCAAGUCGAGCGGCAGCGGGAAAGUAGCUUGCUACUUUUGCCGGCGAGCGGCGGACGGGUGAGUAAUGCCUGGGGAUCUGCCCAGUCGAGGGGGAUAACUACUGGAAACGGUAGCUAAUACCGCAUACGCCCUACGGGGGAAAGCAGGGGACCUUCGGGCCUUGCUCGAUUGGAUGAAGCCAGGUGGGAUUAGCUAGUUGGUGAGGUAAUGGCUCACCAAGGCGACGAUCCCUAGCUGGUCUGAGAGGAUGAUCAGCCACACUGGAACUGAGACACGGUCCAGACUCCUACGGGAGGCAGCAGUGGGGAAUAUUGCACAAUGGGGGAAACCCUGAUGCAGCCAUGCCGCGUGUGUGAAGAAGGCCUUCGGGUUGUAAAGCACUUUCAGCGAGGAGGAAAGGUUGGUAGCUAAUAACUGCCAGCUGUGACGUUACUCGCAGAAGAAGCACCGGCUAACUCCGUGCCAGCCGCCGCGGUAA
rnacentral:rRNA from 1 species